GGUGCAGGCCAGCGUCGGUUUGGGUGGGGGGAUAAAGGCGUCUGGAAUGUGGCUCCUC
rnacentral:rRNA from 1 species